CCACCUCCCCAAGCCCAAAUGGCCAUGCAGGUCAAACACCAGCUCUGAAGUGAGCAGGGCCCCCAGGGAGGACGGCCACCAGAGGUCAGGGCAGUAUCCCUGCUGGCACCUGCCCCUUUGUGCAGCGGCAAUCAGGGACCUCAGGAAUCAGCUAAACUCACAAUGCAGUUACUGAAAGAAAUGUGCUCCUUGGGGGCCAGCGAAACUCAGUGGCCCAAGGAAGGCCACUUAUGUCCACUUCAUAGCCAGCUGCAAAUUUUGGCAAACAGACUUUGCUUCUCGUCACUCAGCCCACCUGACCAGGUUCAGACACAGUCUGCAGCUGCCUGGCUCGCACCCCUGACUCUGCAGCAGGGUAUGUGGGGAGCUCAGGGCACAGCAGGCCAGGCUUCCCCAUGGACAUCCAGGAACCUGAACCAAACUGCCCAGGGCCCCAAAGGGAAAGACGUCUCAGCAGACGGACAGCCAAGGCUCACACCGCAAGCUCUGGCAGCCUGUCCGUCCCAGGAGAGGGGGCAGAUGGCAGACAGGAAAAGACACCACCUGCUGGGAUGCUGAGACUCGCUCGCAGGAGCUUUUAGAACUGGCUGAGGUCAGCUGGAACCAACGUGGCCAGCUGGAGUCUGCACGGCCCAAUCUUGCUGACGCCACAGCCCGAGUUUCCACCCCGGGGUCCCGGUAACUCCGCCCAGAUGUGCACACGAGACCCAUGAGCAGACACAACUUUCCAGACCCCCCUUUUCUUCCACCAGCCACCUACUAAUCCACGAACCCCCCUGAACCUUCCCCAAUAGAAACACUGCAUUAAAGCCAGCGCGGGGGGACGGACGUGAACUGGGCCCUGUCUCCCUGUGGGUUGGCCCAGAAGAAAAGCUUUUCUUCUC